rnacentral:rRNA from 2 species
GGAAGGUUUCCAUAUAGUAUAACCCUCACCCAAAGUGAAACACGGGGGGGGCCUUAAACACACCCAUGGGGGACACAAAGGGGAAAACUGAUCUCCGUGUUAUAGGCGGGAGACAGGGUGAGGCCACCGAGGGUUAACCUACCCUUAAAAACGGGGUAAUUUUCGGGAAACCAGGGUUUAAUCCCGGUUAAUUUAUUGACCCCACUGGUUCCAAUUGUGAAAAGCGGUUUUGGCGUUCCAUUUUAAGAUGGACCCGCGCCCGUUUUAGCCUAGUUGUUAAGGUAACGGCUUUACCAAGGCAAGGGUUAGUUGGCGGUCCUGGGAGGGGGAUCGGCCCCCCUGGAAUUGGGACCACGUUCCAGAUUCCUACGGGAGGCAGCAGUAGGGAAUUUUUCCGCAAUGGGCGAAAGCCUGACGGAGCAACGCCGCGUGAGUGAUGAAGGUCUUAGGAUCGUAAAACUCUGUUGUUAGGGAAGAACAAAUUUGUUAGUAACUGAACAAGUCUUGACGGUACCUAACCAGAAAGCCACGGCUAACUACGUGCCAGCAGCCGCGGUAAUACGUAGGUGGCAAGCGUUAUCCGGAAUUAUUGGGCGUAAAGCGCGCGUAGGCGGUUUCUUAAGUCUGAUGUGAAAGCCCACGGCUCAACCGUGGAGGGUCAUUGGAAACUGGGGAACUUGAGUGCAGAAGAGGAGAGUGGAAUUCCAUGUGUAGCGGUGAAAUGCGCAGAGAUAUGGAGGAACACCAGUGGCGAAGGCGGCUCUCUGGUCUGUAACUGACGCUGAUGUGCGAAAGCGUGGGGAUCAAACAGGAUUAGAUACCCUGGUAGUCCACGCCGUAAACGAUGAGUGCUAAGUGUUAGGGGGUUUCCGCCCCUUAGUGCUGCAGCUAACGCAUUAAGCACUCCGCCUGGGGAGUACGACCGCAAGGUUGAAACUCAAAGGAAUUGACGGGGACCCGCACAAGCGGUGGAGCAUGUGGUUUAAUUCGAAGCAACGCGAAGAACCUUACCAAAUCUUGACAUCCUUUGAUCGCUCUAGAGAUAGAGUUUUCCCCUUCGGGGGACAAAGUGACAGGUGGUGCAUGGUUGUCGUCAGCUCGUGUCGUGAGAUGUUGGGUUAAGUCCCGCAACGAGCGCAACCCUUAAGCUUAGUUGCCAUCAUUAAGUUGGGCACUCUAGGUUGACUGCCGGUGACAAACCGGAGGAAGGUGGGGAUGACGUCAAAUCAUCAUGCCCCUUAUGAUUUGGGCUACACACGUGCUACAAUGGAUAAUACAAAGGGCAGCGAACCCGCGAGGUCAAGCAAAUCCCAUAAAAUUAUUCUCAGUUCGGAUUGUAGUCUGCAACUCGACUACAUGAAGCUGGAAUCGCUAGUAAUCGUAGAUCAGCAUGCUACGGUGAAUACGUUCCCGGGUCUUGUACACACCGCCCGUCACACCACGAGAGUUUGUAACACCCGAAGCCGGUGGAGUAACCUUUUAUUAGGAGCUAGCCGUUUAAAGGGGAACCGGGGGA